GACUUAAUGUCAGCUUUGCGCAGUGGCAGUAUCGUAGCCUAUGAGGUUUAUCCGAGGCGCGAUUAUUGCUAGUUGAAAACUUUACCCAAUACCCCGCCUUGACGACUUGAAAUAUAGUCGGCAAUGGCAAUUUUUGACGGUCUCUAAGGAGACUGAUCCGGUGUAGAAUUUAAACUAGAAUGUUAAGGAGAGACUGUCGAACAACCAAAUGAAAACACCUAUCUGUAGUAACUGCUAUGAAUCACUAUGGGGUGUUAAAGCACAGACGAAAUAUACGUAGAUCUCUCAUGACAUGCUUGAACGUAAUUCAGCGUCGCGUCGCGUCGCCGCCAUAUUGGUUGGGUCUCCUCAGUCUACGUUAGCACAACGGAGAGAGAGCAACCAGAGACUGUCUGAUAAGGACGUAGACGGGCUCUGGAGCAACUGUGCCCGUAUUUUGUGCAGCUUACGGUUGCAGUAACCGGCGCGGUAUUGAUACCAGAUCGCGUGCGAUUACCUUUCACAAGUCAGAUUGAACAAUAAUUUUGGUUAUUUUACCAUUUAGAAUAUUAGGUUUAGAGAUGGUGCGACCCCAUCUGUCUUCAACAUCCCAUGUCAUCUCCAAAGAACUGUAGUGACAAGGAACACAAAACCUUAAAGGAAAGCUGAAGAGAGCCUACCAGUGGACAUUUCUCAGCAUUUCCCUGAAAGUGAACCUCAGCCCAAUGAUGACCACUCCUAUGCAUUGCCCAAUUCUCCUACUCGUCUAAAGGCCAGACUCAGUGGAGCUUUGGCUAGAGUGGAGAGUCUAGAGCGGGAGAAGCAAAAUGCAAAGGCCCGAGAACGGAGAGCAAAGAAAACCGUAAAGAGUCUUCUGGAAGAUUUGAAGGAAAAGAACCUUAUAAAUGAGGAGUUGAAAGAAAGGCUUGACUUCCACUCAGAUCUUCAGAUAGACUUCUUUUGAAAGCGGGGCCAUGAAUACACGAAGGACCACAGAGAGUUUGCCCUCACACUGCACCUCCAUGGUCCGAAAGCAUACAGUUACCUGAGGGAUUCUCUGCAUCUUCCCCCUGCCACAUCCACAUACGUUGCAACGGUGGAUGCAAUCAGUGGAUGCCAAGCCUGGGCUGAACACAAUGAUGUUGGAGAUGUUGCAGAGAAGACGUGAAGAAGACCCUGCUAAAUAUGGCUCAUGUUGGAUGCCAUGGCCAUCAAAAAGCAUGUCCAGUACAAUGAGCCAUGAGCCGUUAAAAACCUUCUUUGAACAUCCAGUGACCGCUGACAGGGUGUUUGUGUUGAUAGAUAGAUAGAUAGAUAGAUUGAUAGAUACUUUAUUUAUCCCGAGGGAAAUUCAAGUAUCCAGUAGCAUACAAAAUACAUUAAACAUACAUUAGACUAAAAUUAAAAUCCCUAACCUUAAGAAAAUAAUUAAAAAUAAAAUAGAAGAUAAAAUAUAAAGUAUUAUAUAUAUAUAUAUAUAUAUAUAUAUAUAUAUAUAAUAUAUAAAACUAACAGUAGCUACAGUAAAUGGUGCAAACAGUAAAUGGAUGUGCAAAAUACAGAUAGAAAUUGUCCAUUGUCUAUUAUCUGUUGUCCUCCCUGCCUUUACUGAGAGCUGUUGUACAGUCUGAUGGCCAGGGGGACGAACAAGUUUUUGAGUCUGUUGGUGGAGCUGGACUGGGACAGCAGUCCGUCACUGAACACACUCCUCUGCCUCGUGCAGAGGAUGGUGGGUGUUGUCCAGUAUGGACAGCAGUUUGUCCAGGGUCCUCUCUGCCACUGUCACCAGAGAGUCCAGCUCUGUGCCCACCACUGCGCCAGCUCUCCUCACCAGUCUGUCCAGUCGACAGGCGUCUCUCCUCUUGCUGCUUCCUCCCCAGCAAACCACAGCAUGAAAGAGCCCGCUGGCCACCAUGGACGCUGGUCACAUGUCGAAACUGGCACACAACAUGUUGCAGGCUUAAAGCCCAAUAACCAGCGCCCCUGGAGAAAUCAGCUGGUCAUACAUUGUUGAGCUCAACAAUGUCCAAACAAAAGAUGGACUGCAUGCGGCCAACAAGAUAACAAACAAGCAUGUCCACUUUGAUGGCCAGGAGAUGAAGGUGUCCCUGGCUGCACAGACACUGAGUGACUCUUUAGUGGUAGUACUGCACACACUGAGGGACCUUGGUUAUUCACAGUUUAAAAACUGUGUAGCAACAGCAGAAUUCAUUGAGGUAAUGUAACAUACAAACAUUGUUAUAUAACACUGCAUAUUCUGCAUGAAAUCCAACUCUGUUUAUACUUACCUGUAGAGGGAAAUCCAAGCAGAGCUGUAUACUUAAAUACUUACUUGUUUUAUAUAUUGAAAUUAGAUUAUAAUUUGAUCUCCAUGAUACGA